CCUACGGGUGGCUGCAGUGGGGAAUAUUGGACAAUGGGGGCAACCCUGAUCCAGCCAUGCCGCGUGUGUGAAGAAGGCCCUCGGGUUGUAAAGCACUUUCAGUGAGGAAGAACGCCUGGUGGUUAAUACCCAUCAGGAAAGACAUCACUCACAGAAGAAGCACCGGCUAACUCCGUGCCAGCAGCCGCGGUAAUACGGAGGGUGCGAGCGUUAAUCGGAAUUACUGGGCGUAAAGCGCGCGUAGGUGGCUUGAUAAGCCGGUUGUGAAAGCCCCGGGCUCAACCUGGGAACGGCAUCCGGAACUGUCAAGCUAGAGUGCAGGAGAGGAAGGUAGAAUUCCCGGUGUAGCGGUGAAAUGUGUAGAGAUCGGGAGGAAUACCAGUGGCGAAGGCGGCCUUCUGGACUGACACUGACACUGAGGUGCGAAAGCGUGGGUAGCAAACAGGAUUAGAUACCCUGGUAGUC
rnacentral:rRNA from 1 species